AGUGAACGCUGGCGGUCUGCCUAACACAUGCAAGUCGAACGGCAGCACAGUAAGCGCUUGCUCUUACGGGUGGCGGGUGGCGGACGGGUGAGGAAUACAUCGGCAUCUUCUUUUUCGGGGGGGAUAUCGUAGGGCAACUUACGCUAAUACCGCAUACGAUCUACGGCUGAAAGCAGGGGAUCUUCGGACUUUGCGUGAUUGAUUGAGCCGGUGCCGGAUUAGAUAGUUGGCGAGGUAAAGGCCCACCAAGGCGACGAUCCGUAGCUGGUCUGAGAGGAUGAUCAGCCACACUGGAACUGAGACACGGUCCAGACUCCUACGGGAGGCAGCAGUGGGGAAUAUUGCACAAUGGGCGCAAGCCUGACCCAGCAAUGCCGCGUGAGUGAUGAAGGUCUUCGGGUUGUAAAGCCCUUUUGUUGGGGAAGAAAAGCAGCGUGUGUAUAUCCCGCUGGUCUGACGGUACCUAAAGAAUAAGCACCGGCUAACUUCGUG
rnacentral:rRNA from 1 species